UUUUUAAUGUAAGUAUGUUCCAUGCAAUAUUUGGACUGUACUUACACUAAAA
rnacentral:pre_miRNA from 1 species